AGUAAAUGCCCAAACGGACCUUGAUUAAAUUGUUCCAAUCGCUGGUAGUGCGUCAGACAGGUCUCCACUUCCUUCAGUGUCGUGUCCUUUACAUAGUGAUUGAUUCGUCCGGCAUAACCUUGCAUGCACGGACGUAACCAAACAUGCCUCGGAGGCUGCAAUUAAUUCAAAAAGAUGAUCAGUAUCAAAAAAUAUCAACCGUGUACAGAUUCUAGACCAACCGUGUACAACCGUGUACGAUUAUAGACCAACCGUGUACAACCGUUUCAGAUUAUAGACCAACCGUGUACAACCGUGUACAACCGUGUACGGAUGAACAAACCGUGUACGGUUGUACACGGUUUGUUCAUACAACGAAAAAUACAUCUAUACGUUAGAAAAUACAUAAGUUAGGGCAUAUUAAAUCAAUUAAUACUAAUCGUGUAACAUAAAUACCUAAUCGUGUACAACCGUGUACUGAAGAACCAUACACGGUUGUACACGGUUGUUCAAAUACUUUCCAGAUUCAAAAUUUCGCAAAUUACCAACAUUAUGCCAUACAUAAACACCUAAUAAUCAACUAUUGUGAACAAUUUAACAAUACAAAACACAUAAAUUCAAAUUUUAACAAAUAUAUUUCACGGUUACUUACCGGAUUCGGCGUCGGGUAUUUUUCCCUCCUCGAUGUACUCGGGCGAUGGCCUCGUUC
rnacentral:lncRNA from 1 species